rnacentral:misc_RNA from 1 species
ACACCUCAACUCUCGUGGUCCGCCAUGAUGAGCUUGGACUUUGGGGGUCUUGCCGGCCUAGUGUCGGCUCCUCUCAAACGGAUCAGCUUGCCAGUGUUUGGUGGCGUCACAGGUGUGAUAACUAUCUACGCUUGUGGUCCCCUGCCAUGCAACCUUCAGCAAUGGAGGUUCGCUGGAGCUCACAGAUGUCUCUCCUCGGCGAGGACAGCUUUUUGAAC